rnacentral:lncRNA from 1 species
AAUCUUUUUUCUUAUCUUAACACUUAUGGUAUUUCGGUUUAUAUAAACCAAUUUUUUUUCCAUGCUAAAUUUCGGUUUGUAGAAACCGAAAUAAGUUUGCCAAAUUUUUUCAAAAUACGAGGGGCAAAAUUGUAUUUUAGGGGCGGGAGAGAAAACGUCAAAAUAAUCGGGGUUUUCUAGGUCAGUCUAUCAACCUCUAUUUUUCAUGGGUCGUAUUGGGCUAGCUCACCGGGUUUGCAGGUUAGCCCCCUAAAAACUAUAAGAAUUAGUUUUUGGGUGAAAUAAAAAUUAAAAAAAAAAAAGUUUCAUUUAGGCUUAUGAAUAUUAUAAAGGAAAUCCCAAAAACAAGGAAUCUAAACUUAGUGACUCUCUAAAAUGCAAAAGAAAUGUCAAAAAACAAGUAACAUCAACACAUCGAGCAGAAACGCAACUCAGCAACUUCCUCCUCUAGGGUUUUUGAAAUCGGCGAAUAACAGAUUUAUUCCAGUGAUACAAACGAAGCCUACGAGAUAGACUUUCACUUCUUCAGAUAGAGGCACGUUGUAUCAUUUGUUCUUGCUGGUUUUCUCAUGCUUACAUGUUAUAUCUCCCUUCAUGGUGUGGAGUAUGUGUUCUUAAAGUUUUGGAUGUGUUUAGUUAACUUGAUUUCCUUGACGA